CCUACGGGAGGCAGCAGUAAGGAAUAUUGGACAAUGGGCGCAAGCCUGAUCCAGCCAUUCCGCGUGUAGGAUGACGGCCCUCUGGGUUGUAAACUACUUUUAUUUGGGAAGAAACCCUGGGAUUUAUCCUGGGCUGACGGUACCAAAAGAAUAAGCACCGGCUAAUUCCGUGCCAGCAGCCGCGGUAAUACGGAAGGUGCAAGCGUUAUCCGGAAUCACUGGGUUUAAAGGGUGCGUAGGCGGUUGCGUAAGUCAGAAGUGAAAGCUCACAGCUUAACUGUGGAAUUGCUUUUGAUACUGCGCGACUAGAAUCAGGUUGAGGUUGGCGGAAUGUGACAUGUAGCGGUGAAAUGCAUAGAUAUGUCGUAGAACACCAAUUGCGAAGGCAGCUGACUGGACCUGCAUUGACGCUGAGGCACGAAAGCGUGGGGAGCGAACAGGAUUAGAUACCCUGGUUGUCCACGCCCUAAACGAUGCUUACUCGAUGUGUGAAAUAUUGCGCAUCCAAGGGAAACCGUUAAGUAAGCCUCCUGGGGAGUACGUUCGCAAGAAUGAAACUCAAAGGAAUUGACGG
rnacentral:rRNA from 1 species